rnacentral:misc_RNA from 1 species
AAAGUGCGACAAGUGUCAUGACUUGCAGAUACCCGAGAGCUGACAAAUUUCUGAAUGCAAAUUGCAGCCAAGUUAACCUGGCUAUACACUGCAGAGAGUACUUCGCGUAUGCGCUUACUCCAGAGUUGAGCACAACCGAAUGGUUGUCACUGUGGGACCUGCGAGAUUGAGCCUGUCGAUCUUCGGACUCCUUAGAUCUGGGCUCUCUCUUGUCAAAGUCAGAAAACCUUCGAGUUUUCCUGAACUAUCUGAGAAAAAGAGUUUAACCUCUUACCUCUCAUCUCGCACCUCUGCAAUGUAGGAGAACCCGCUGAACUUAA